ensembl:lncRNA
CUGACCUUCAGUCCGAAGAAGAAACCCAGACCAGUCUUAAAAGAAAGCACAAACCAAAUCCCCUGUACACAUAUACGGACUCAGAGGAUGAGCAGCCUACAAAAAAACAGUUUCCCCAGGCCCCUCGAGUGAAAAUACCAGCCCUCAUCACUCCGCAGUCUGCCCCCGAGCCCACUGAUAGCAACCAUCAUAAUGCCCCACCCAGCUUCCGGCACCUUUCGCCACUCCGGCACAAACCGACACAGCUUUGCGAUCUCGCCAGCAUGCAGAGUCUGAUGUCUUCCCUAUAGAUGGUGAGACGCUUUGCGUUGAUUGGUGCUGCUGGACCACACUGGAGGUGCGAGUCCGCCGUGUAAUGGUUUAUGCCAUUACAAAGGAGCUGGCCUCUGUACUCAACUGGGCAGGGAAAAAAACCAAGGACCAGACAAAGCAAAGGGCAUUUAAAGAGACAGCGCUGUGCAGAUGCAUAUUUG